rnacentral:lncRNA from 1 species
GAGCACGCCAGCGGCAGGCACACGGAGUGAAGAAACAGACAUUUUCCAGCCUUUUAAAGAGAAAGCAGGCACUGGUGUGACACACAGCAGCUCAGCCAAUCAGAACGCAGAAUCCUGGCCUUCGUCCAAUCAGAGUGAUCCUCUCCUGGAAUUCAUCCUCUCCAGACAGAAGAAUUUCCAAGCUUCUCCACCACCAUCUGAGACCACCAGCGUUUUCCAAGAAGCGUCCGGUUUCCUCGAGACUCCUUCCCUGUCCACCUCGCUGCUCGUUUCUAAUACCAACCCGACAUCUGACCAUAUUUACAAGACAUCCUCGUCCGACAUCGAGACGUUCGAUCCUCUGUUUGCCCCUCAGAAUGAAGUCCAGUCCAAUCAGAAGAGCAGUUACGAUCUACUGUCCCAUGUUGCUUUGCCAAACCGAGCCGCUCAAGAGACGUCAGCUUUAGCAACACCUUCCACAAGCAUCUCAAACGGAGAUCCGAUGUUCAGGAGGCGUCCUCCCAAAGCUGGUCCUCGCAGUAAACCCCCGAAGAGCCUCCUCCAGCCUCCUGCUCUCUCUCAGAUCACGGCGGCUGCGAUGGAGAGCGAUCCGUCGGUUUAUGAGGACGUUCUUCUCAUCGCACAGCAAACCGAUGCACAGAAAGACUGA